AGGGUGAGGCCUGAUGCCGAGCCGAUUGUGGUGAAGUGGAUGAUCCUAUGCUGUCGAGAAAAGCCUCUAGCGAUGUUUCAUGGUGGCCCGUACCCUAAACCGACUCUGGUGGUCAGGUAGAGUAUACCGAGGCGUUCGGGUGAACUAUGGUUAAGGAACUCGGCAAAUUGCCCCCGUAACUUCGGGAGAAGGGGGGCCGUUCCCGGUGAAGGUAUUUACUGCCGGAGCUGGGGGUGGCCGCAGAGACCAGCGAGAAGCGACUGUUUACUAAAAACACAGGUCCGUGCGAAGCUGUAAGGCGAUGUAUACGGACUGACGCCUGCCCGGUGCUGGAACGUUAAGGGGACCGGUUAGCCCUUUUGGGGGCGAGGCUGGGAACUUAAGCGCCAGUAAACGGCGGUGGUAACUAUAACCAUCCUAAGGUAGCGAAAUUCCUUGUCGGGUAAGUUCCGACCUGCACGAAUGGCGUAACGACUUCUCGGCUGUCUCAACCAUAGGCCCGGUGAAAUUGCAGUACGAGUAAAGAUGCUCGUUUCGCGCAGCAGGACGGAAAGACCCCGGGACCUUUACUACAGCUUGAUAUUGGUGUUCGGUUCGGUUUGUGUAGGAUAGGUGGGAGACUGUGAAGCGCCGGCGCCAGCCGGUGUGGAGUCGUUGUUGAAAUACCACUCUGGUCGUGCUGGAUGUCUAACCUGGGUCCGUGAUCCGGAUCGGGGACAGUGUCUGGUGGGUAGUUUAACUGGGGCGGUUGCCUCCUAAAGGGUAACGGAGGCGCCCAAAGGUUCCCUCAGCCUGGUUGGUUAUCAGGUGGUGAGUGUAAGUGCACAAGGGAGCUUGACUGUGAGACUGGCGGGUCGAGCAGGUGCGAAAGCAGGGACUAGUGAUCCGGCGGUGGCUUGUGGGAGCGCCGUCGCUCAUCGGAUAAAAGGUACCCCGGGGAUAACAGGCUGAUCUUCCCCAAGAGUCCGUAUCGACGGGAUGGUUUGGCACCUCGAUGUCGGCUCGUCGCAUCCUGGGGCUGGAGUUGGUCCCAAGGGUUGGGCUGUUCGCCCAUUAAAGCGGUACGCGAGCUGGGUUUAGAACGUCGUGAGACAGUUCGGUCCCUAUCCGCUGUGCGCGUUGGAGUCUUGAGAAGGGCUGUCCCUAGUACGAGAGGACCGGGACGGACGGACCUCUGGUGUGCCAGUUGUCCUGCCAAGGGCAUGGCUGGUUGGCUACGUUCGGGAGGGAUAACCGCUGAAAGCAUCUAAGCGGGAAGCCUGCUUCGAGAUGAGGACUCCCACCCACUUGAUGGGGUAAGGCUCCCUGGAGACGACGGGGUUGAUAGGCCGGAGAUGGAAGCCUUGUGAGGGGUGGAGUCGACCGGUACUAAUAGGCCGAGGGCUUGUCCGC
rnacentral:rRNA from 1 species